rnacentral:rRNA from 1 species
CAGCCGCCGCGGUAAUACCGGCGGCCCGAGUGGCGGUCACUAUUAUUGGGCUUAAAGCGUCCGUAGCCGGGUUGGGAAGUCCUCCGGGAAAUCUGGCCGCUUAACGGUCAGAAUGCCGGAGGAUACUCCCAGCCUAGGGAGCGGGAGAGGCCGAGGGGAUUCCCGGAGUAGGGGUGAAAUCCUAUAAUCCCGGGAGGACCACCUGUGGCGAAGGCGCUCGGCUGGAACGCGUCCGACGGUGAGGGACGAAGGCCAGGGGAGCAAACCGGAGUAGAUGCCCGGGUAGUCCUGGCGGUAAACGAUGCGGACUUUGUGUCGGACAAGCUAUGAGCUUGUCCGGUGCCGGAGGGAAACCGUUAAGUCCGCCGCCUGGGGAGUACGGCCGCAAGGCUGAAACUUAAAGGAAUUGGCGGG